CCUACGGGGGGCAGCAGUGAGGAAUAUUGGUCAAUGGCCGGAAGGCUGAACCAGCCAUGCCGCGUGAAGGUCAGUGCCCUAUGGGCGUUAAACUUCUUUUGUGCGGGAGCAAUAAUGGUCACGUGUGGCCAGACGAGAGUACCGUACGAAUAAGCAUCGGCUAACUCCGUGCCAGCAGCCGCGGUAAUACGGGGGAUGCAAGCGUUAUCCGGAUUUAUUGGGUUUAAAGGGUGCGUAGGCUGUGAGGUAAGUCAGCGGUGAAAUGCCCCCGCUCAACGGGGUGAAGUGACAUUGAUACUGCCUGGCUGGAAUGCGGAUGCCGUGGGAGGAAUGUGUGGUGUAGCGGUGAAAUGCAUAGAUAUCACACAGAACACCGAUUGCGAAGGCAUCUCACGAAUCCGCGAUUGACGCGGAUGCACGAAAGCGUGGGUAUCAAACAGGAUUAGAUACCCUAGUAGUC
rnacentral:rRNA from 1 species